UCACCUUUUCCUUCAGAAACACUCGCUGGGGCCCCUCGAAAUUACCCCAAGUUGGCAGCUACAAAUGUCACCUCUGUCCCUGCCAUGUUAUCCCAGGUUUCCCCAGCUGGGAGCUGCAAGGAAUUCAGGCCAGGGAAUGGACAGCAGGGAACAGCUGUACAUGCAAAGGCAGAAAGAGAAGUUUCCCAGGGAGAAGAACAGGAACUCACAGCCACCAAGGCCUGACAGUCCCCUGCAGCCAGAGCUCAGCACACACCCAGAGAGGCAAUUCCAGCAUCUAAAAGGAAAAAAAAGAACAAAAAAAGUGAUUUAUUUUGUUUUAAAGUUA